UAUCAUAAUAUUAUUUACCCUUCACAGCAUUUGCCUGUUUUUUUAGAUUCUGAGUGGUACGAAGAAUGUAUUGGUUUUACAAAGAUAUUUAUUUUUUAUUUUUUUUUUUAAUACUUUUUCUACCAGAAAACUUACUCCGAUGUAUAUGAUAUGCAACUUUUCUGAAAGGAGAUUUUCUUGGGGUGGUACUUUAGGGAAAUAAUUUUUUGAUUUUCCCGGCAGUUUUUCUAAUAAAAGGGAAAAGUAAAAAACUGAGGAAAACGGGAAAAUAUAUGAAAUAUAUUAACCGGGAAAAACGUAGGAAAAAUGGGAAAAUUAGCACAAUAUUAAAAUUAUUAAAGAAAAUAUAUAAUGCCUAUGUAAUUAUUUUACUAUAAUAUGAUUUAUAUAUUAUUGACAAAACAUCACUAUCAACUGAACUGCGCUCAGAAUUAUUUUUCAUUAGCAAUGAUUUAUCGUUGCUUACAGAUAUACAUUAAAUUCCCGUCUGUAUCCUACAUUCCUACCUUCCCGCCUACAACAGUGGCUGUAUCCAUAUGCGAAAUAUGUUAGUUUUUUUUUAAAGUUUUAAAUCUUUUUUCUUUUAUCUAAAUACUAAAUUAUAUACCACAAAUCCCUAUAAUUAGUAUAACUACUUCAGUAGUUGUGAAAUUAAUCAUAUUGAUGAAAACAUAUUGAUGUUGCUGUCGCCACUGCUGCCCGACGUCCCGGUCACCACCGAGUCCCACACCAAAAAUAUAUAGUUAGUUACGAUUCGACAGUGGGAUUGAUCCAACGUCGUAAGCCCAAACGGUCCGCGCCGAGUGGGUCUCAAAAAGAAAAAACACACUCUUCCUUUUGGCAUGAUGUUCGGCGCCAACAUGAUGGGCUAGGCGUACCGACUGUGGUCUGCGGUGGAUCGCGAACAGAGGAGCCGUGUGACAACAACAACCACAACAACAACAACAGUAAUAUCAAGUCAGAAUCACCAGGAAUCCCUUAAAAUUUAACGAAUUAAUAAUAUUUUUUUUUUAUCUCUCAGCACUUUUCCUAAUUUUGUUUUCCCCCUUUAGUCCAUUUCUAGACCGUUCUAACAUUUAUGUUAAAAAAAAUAAUAAUAAAUCUAAAAC